rnacentral:rRNA from 1 species
AGAGUUUGAUCCUGGCUCAGGAUGAACGCUAGCGGCAGGCUUAACACAUGCAAGUCGAGGGGCAGCGAGAUUGAAGCUUGCUUCAAUUGUCGGCGACCGGCGGACGGGUGCGUAACGCGUAUGCAACCUACCCAUAACAGGGGGAUAACACUGAGAAAUUGGUACUAAUACCCCAUAACAUCUCGAGUGACAUCACUUGGGGUUGAAAGCUUCGGUGGUUAUGGAUGGGCAUGCGUUGUAUUAGCUAGUUGGUGAGGUAACGGCUCACCAAGGCGACGAUACAUAGGGGGACUGAGAGGUUAACCCCCCACACUGGUACUGAGACACGGACCAGACUCCUACGGGAGGCAGCAGUGAGGAAUAUUGGUCAAUGGACGCAAGUCUGAACCAGCCAUGCCGCGUGCAGGAUGACGGCUCUAUGAGUUGUAAACUGCUUUUGUACGAGGGUAAACGCAGAUACGUGUAUCUGUCUGAAAGUAUCGUACGAAUAAGGAUCGGCUAACUCCGUGCCAGCAGCCGCGGUAAUACGGAGGAUUCAAGCGUUAUCCGGAUUUAUUGGGUUUAAAGGGUGCGUAGGCGGUUUGAUAAGUUAGAGGUGAAAUUUCGGGGCUCAACCCUGAACGUGCCUCUAAUACUGUUGAGCUAGAGAGUAGUUGCGGUAGGCGGAAUGUAUGGUGUAGCGGUGAAAUGCUUAGAGAUCAUACAGAACACCGAUUGCGAAGGCAGCUUACCAAACUAUAUCUGACGUUGAGGCACGAAAGCGUGGGGAGCAAACAGGAUUAGAUACCCUGGUAGUCCACGCAGUAAACGAUGAUAACUCGUUGUCGGCGAUACACAGUCGGUGACUAAGCGAAAGCGAUAAGUUAUCCACCUGGGGAGUACGUUCGCAAGAAUGAAACUCAAAGGAAUUGACGGGGGCCCGCACAAGCGGAGGAACAUGUG